GCAUCAGUGGUUUAGUGGUAAAAUGUAAGCUAGCCCAAAUGAGUGAAGGAAGUACGUGGACUAAUCAGCGCAUAGCCGUCGUUGCCAUCGACGGGCCCCGUGUUCGAUUCACGGCUGAUGCA